rnacentral:rRNA from 1 species
UACGUAGGGUGCAAGCGUUGUCCGGAAUUAUUGGGCGUAAAGAGCUCGUAGGCGGUUUGUUGCGUCGGCUGUGAAAUCCCGAGGCUCAACCUCGGGUCUGCAGUCGAUACGAGCAAACUAGAGUGUUGCAGGGGAGACUGGAGUUCCUGGUGUAGCGGUGAAAUGCGCAGAUAUCAGGAGGAACACCGGUGGCGAAGGCGGGUCUCUGGGCAACAACUGACGCUGAGGAGCGAAAGCGUGGGGAGCGAACAGG